rnacentral:tRNA from 4 species
GGGUCUAUAGCUCAGCUGGUUUAGAGCGCACGCCUGAUAAGCGUGAGGUCGGUGGUUCGAGUCCACUUAGACCCA